AAGGCUUAUCUUGACUUGGAAGACAUGUGGAUUAGAAAGAAAUUACAUUUGCUUCGACAGGGGGAUAGACUGGUGAAGCCAUUGGCAUGUUAUGUACUGAAUCGAAAAGAGAGAAAUCAAUUUGUCACAUAUUUGAGAUCAGUGAGAUUUUUCGAUGGAUACGCCUUAAACUUGAAAUGGUGCAUCAAGCUGAAAGAUGGAA
rnacentral:lncRNA from 1 species